GGACACAAUGAAGGUACUCUGGCAAUGAAAGAAGGUGAGGUUCUGUACAUUAUUGAAGAAGACAAAGGUGAUGGAUGGACAAGAGCCCGCAGACAGAACGGUGAAGAAGGCUACGUUCCCACAUCAUACAUAGAUGUAACUCUAGAGAAAAACAGUAAAGGUUCCUGAAGAGGGGUUCUGAGGAAUGGGCAAGAUGUUGAAGGAGGUUACAUGCAGCUGCUUUGGGGGAGCGGGGGGUAGAGUUGUCAGGCUCAGAGAGAUGAGAGAAGCAAGUUGCAUGAAUGCAUGCAGACAUUUUUUUUUACUAACUUCAUUAGCAUUUCCAUACAUUGUUUUUAAACAAUCCCUAUAAUACCAAUCCUUAAAUUCCUAGUGCACCAUUACUCACAUAGAAGACAAAAAGCCUACAGUGUCUGAGCCUCUUUCCAUUUAUUUUACUGAUGUCCAGAUCCGAAAGAAUGCAGAGUUGUCAUAAAACUUCAUAAAAUGUUCUUUCUUUUAGCUAUCUUGUCAGGACUCUGUCCAUCCAGCUCUGUUCUAAGUGAUUUUCGACCCAUUGUCUGUUUGUUAGAGCCUUUGCCAUCUGUCUGUCUGCCUGCGCCACCUCCGUGCUUGCUUAACAUCCUGUUGCAUGUCUAGAGUGACCAGCUUAGAUUCUCAGGCAUGUCUUUAUAAUCCCUUGUUCUUGUCCCAGUCUUUGUGUUGUUUUACAUUUGUAGUACAAAUUACUUUUGUCAGACAUCUCCAGCACUAAUGUUCCAUCUUAGUCUUUGUGUAUGCUGCUAUAACUUCCCCACUGCAAACAUUCCAGUUUUGACAUUACGAAGACAUAGUCUGUGAACCUGAAGCAUUUAUGAUGAGAAAAAGAAACCACCUGCUCUAGCCUACAGCCCAGUUACUACAGAACUCUCUGAAAUAUGAUACAUCUUCUGCACCACUGUCUGGGAAGAACCAGUAGUGAGCACUGAAGUCCUGGAAUAAUAAACACAGAAGAAACUUUCCACCUCAAGACACAGGACUAUUGUCAUGAGUCAGCUGCUUCCAUUCAAAUGCUGCCUUAAACGAGAGUGCCUAAAUCUGUUGAUUGCCAACACUACCACUACAGUAUCCCAUAAAGGGCUUUAUGCGUCAGCUCAGUGCGACCUCUUUUAACUCUGCGGCCCUGCUGUAGCUGCCAAUGUAGCCUUGGUAGGUGGCUUUCAGAGCUCUACCAUGUACACUGGUGCAUCUUCAAAUUUAUGCAUCACACUGAAGGACAUGUUUGAGCCCAUUUUACUUAGCGUUUUUAUGAGAAGUUUUGUGGACUUCCCCUAGCCCCACAUUUGUCUUUUAAUUUGGGACUAAGACAAUGUCACUUGAUUCCUGCCAUGAUAGUCUUGUUUCCAAGUGAUGCUUUUGUUUGAACCAGAUAAAAUUUAGUGAAACUUUGUAAUGAUCUAUGUGCACUUUUACUUGUAAAAUGGAAAUUUCUGUAUGUUUAUACUUGUAAAUAUAUUCGUUGUUAGUGGCCCUAUCACUCAUGUCGUCUCGCCUGGCAUUUGUGAUUCUGUUGAUGACUUGUACCUGAGCUACUUUCUUAGUGGUGAUGUAACAGGGUGGGAGGGGGAGGGGCUAUUUGUACCGCUGACGCGCUUCAUUAAUUUGGUUCUUACUGGUUUGAUGGGAGAAAGAGAACGUGAAAUGGUCUGUGUAUUAUUGGAUUUUAAGCAAUAUUUUAGAAGCCGUGUGACUGCUUUUAAUAAUUUUCCCAGUGUUAAUUGAAUCAUGCUCUCAUUUAUACUAAAGCUGAAUGACAAUUGUGUGAAAGUUAAUGCCUUCAUAAGAUAAAGUACACCACUGUUACACAGCUGACAUAUAGUGUAUUGUUUUUGAGGCUAGUAAACUAUAAAGUUUAGAUAGUAAAUCUCGUUACAGGGUUAUUUAUAUAAUGUGACAUUAUUCAGUACUAACUACGUGAAGUAGUUUUAAAAACUAGUGCUGUUUUUAUUUUAAAGGUUAGCAGUGAGAAGGAAAUGUGACCGGGCUGUGUUUGUCUUCUGUACAAAGCCUGAAGUGCUUAUGUUUUUUUGGCCAUCAGCCACAGAGGGCAAAGUUUAAAGCUUUCUUGUAAGGACUAACUGUUCUUUUCAAGCUACUGUUUGUUUUUCUAAAUACAGGAUUUGCUUCAGUAGGAGGCAAGUUCCUUCAUGUAGAAUAGUGCAACCUGUAACCGGCUCUUACAAUAGGACAGACAUUUGUUACACUCAGUUUAAAUCAUUCUGAAAUCAUUCUUAGAUUUUGAACAUGUGAAUUGUCAAAAAGAAAUCUUUAAUUUUGCAGGUAUUUUUACUCUUUGUGCACAUGUUGAUUUCAUAAUGGUAAAUGCUUUGUUUAAGAUAGUGUUCUCUGUUGAGAAUAUUUUCAUGGAAUAAAACAAACUUUUCAUGGUCAGUUAA